rnacentral:lncRNA from 1 species
UUGAUGAUAACACAGAAAGAGUCGCUCCUGAUCAGAGUUGGACUAUAAACACGUAGUUCUAUUGGCCUGGAACUAGAUUCUGAUAGUGAAUCAACCCAUCUAAUAGUGCAUGGGUAACGGAGUCAUUGUGUCGCUGUGGCCACAUUGACUCGAUCCCAUCUUGUCGCUUUGGCCUUGAUGCGGAUCACCUUGCUUGGGGGGGGAUACUGGUGGUACACGGGUGUUCAGCCAUACUCUCUUCAGGGGGGAGUACUGGUGAGACAUGCCUGAUUACGUC